rnacentral:rRNA from 1 species
UGGGGAAUAUUGCACAAUGGGCGAAAGCCUGAUGCAGCAACGCCGCGUGAGUGAUGAAGGUCUUCGGAUUGUAAAGCUCUGUCUUUUGGGACGAUAAUGACGGUACCAAAGGAGGAAGCCACGGCUAACUACGUGCCAGCAGCCGCGGUAAUACGUAGGUGGCGAGCGUUGUCCGGAUUUACUGGGCGUAAAGGGUGCGUAGGCGGAUGUUUAAGUGAGAUGUGAAAUACCCGGGCUUAACUUGGGUGCUGCAUUUC